rnacentral:rRNA from 1 species
GCGAAAAGAACCCCGGCGAGGGGAGUGAAAAAGAACCUGAAACCGUGUACGUACAAGCAGUGGGAGCACGCUUAGGCGUGUGACUGCGUACCUUUUGUAUAAUGGGUCAGCGACUUAUAUUCUGUAGCAAGGUUAACCGAAUAGGGGAGCCGAAGGGAAACCGAGUCUUAACUGGGCGUUAAGUUGCAGGGUAUAGACCCGAAACCCGGUGAUCUAGCCAUGGGCAGGUUGAAGGUUGGGUAACACUAACUGGAGGACCGAACCGACUAAUGUUGAAAAAUUAGCGGAUGACUUGUGGCUGGGGGUGAAAGGCCAAUCAAACCGGGAGAUAGCUGGUUCUCCCCGAAAGCUAUUUAGGUAGCGCCUCGUGAAUUCAUCUCCGGGGGUAGAGCACUGUUUCGGCAAGGGGGUCAUCCCGACUUACCAACCCGAUGCAAACUGCGAAUACCGGAGAAUGUUAUCACGGGAGACACACGGCGGGUGCUAACGUCCGUCGUGAAGAGGGAAACAACCCAGACCGCCAGCUAAGGUCCCAAAGUCAUGGUUAAGUGGGAAACGAUGUGGGAAGGCCCAGACAGCCAGGAUGUUGGCUUAGAAGCAGCCAUCAUUUAAAGAAAGCGUAAUAGCUCACUGGUCGAGUCGGCCUGCGCGGAAGAUGUAACGGGGCUAAACC